rnacentral:rRNA from 1 species
AGACGGGGGAUGCAAGUGUUAUCCGGAAUCACUGGGCGUAAAGCGUCUGUAGGUGGUUAAGUAAGUCAACUUGUUAAAUCUUGAGGCUCAACCUCAAAAAUCGCAGUCGAAACUGCUUGACUAGAGUAUAGUAGGGGUAAAGGGAAUUUCCAGUGGAGCGGUGAAAUGCGUAGAUAUUGGAAAGAACACCGAUGGCGAAGGCACUUUACUGGGCUAUUACUAACACUGAGAGACGAAAGCUAGGGUAGC